rnacentral:misc_RNA from 1 species
AAGUCGUAACAAGGUUUCCGUAGGUGAACCUGCGGAAGGAUCAUUAAAGAUUUUGUUUUUUGGGGUUUUCCCUGAAAAAUAAUUCACCUUUUGUGCAUUGUUAUUAGAAAUACUUUGGUUAGAGCUUUGAUUUCAUUUUUUGAAAUCAACUUCUUGCUAACUCUAUCCUGUUGAAUGGACUAUUGAAUGGGACAGUUGGCUAUGAAGCGGCCUACCAAGGUUUUUUAUCAAACUCUUGUAUUUUGUCUGACCUAAAUAUCAAUAAUUAAAUCAUAACUUUCAACAACGGAUCUCUUGGCUCUC